rnacentral:rRNA from 1 species
CAGCCCCGUACGAUGUCGACUUGGAGGUUGUGCCCUUGAGGCGUGGCUUCCGGAGCUAACGCGUUAAGUCGACCGCCUGGGGAGUACGGCCGCAAGGUUAAAACUCAAAUGAAUUGACGGGGGCCCGCACAAGCGGUGGAGCAUGUGGUUUAAUUCGAUGCAACGCGAAGAACCUUGCCUGGUCUUGACAUCCACGGAAGUUUUCAGAGAUGAGAAUGUGCCUUCGGGAACCGUGAGACAGGUGCUGCAUGGCUGUCGUCAGCUCGUGUUGUGAAAUGUUGGGUUAAGUCCCGCAACGAGCGCAACCCUUAUCCUUUGUUGCCAGCGGUCCGGCCGGGAACUCAAAGGAGACUGCCAGUGAUAAACUGGAGGAAGGUGGGGAUGACGUCAAGUCAUCAUGGCCCUUACGACCAGGGCUACACACGUGCUACAAUGGCGCAUACAAAGAGAAGCGACCUCGCGAGAGCAAGCGGACCUCAUAAAGUGCGUCAUAGUCCGGAUUGGAGUCUGCAACUCGACUCCAUGAAGUCGGAAUCGCUAGUAAUCGUGGAUCAGAAUGCCACGGUGAAUACGUUCCCGGGCCUUGUACACACCGCCCGUCACACCAUGGGAGUGGGUUGCAAAAGAAGUAGGUAGCUUAACCUUCGGGAGGGCGCUUACCACUUUGUGAUUCAUGACUGGGGUGAAGUCGUACAAGGGUUAACAAA